rnacentral:piRNA from 1 species
UGGGUGUUGGGAGAAGCAGCAGGAAG